rnacentral:rRNA from 1 species
CGGGACGGGUGAGUAAUGUCUGGGAAACUGCCUGAUGGAGGGGGGUAACUACUGGAACGGUAGCUAAUACCGCAUAACGUCGCAAGACCAAAGAGGGGGACCUUCGGGGCCUCUUGCCAUCGGAUGUGCCCAGAUGGGAUUAGCUAGUAGGUGGGGUAACGGCUCACCUAGGCGACGAUCCCUAGCUGGUCUGAGAGGAUGACCAGCCACACUGGAACUGAGACACGGUCCAG